rnacentral:rRNA from 1 species
AGUGAACGCUGGCGGUAGGCCUAACACAUGCAAGUCGAACGGCAGCACAGUAAGAGCUUGCUCUUACGGGUGGCGAGUGGCGGACGGGUGAGGAAUACAUCGGAAUCUACUUUUUCGUGGGGGAUAACGUAGGGAAACUUACGCUAAUACCGCAUACGACCUACGGGUGAAAGCAGGGGAUCUUCGGACCUUGCGCGAUUGAAUGAGCCGAUGUCGGAUUAGUUAGUUGGCGGGGUAAAGGCCCACCAAGGCGACGAUCCGUAGCUGGUCUGAGAGGAUGAUAAGCCACACUGGAACUGAAACACGGUCCAGACUCCUACGGGAGGCAGCAGUGGGGAAUGUUGGACAAUGGGGGCAAGCCUGAUCCAGCCAUACCGCGUGGGUGGAGAAGGCCUUCGGGUUGUAAAGCCCUUUUGUUGGGAGAGAAAAGCAGCAGGUUAAUACCCCGCUGUUCUGACGGUACCCAAAGAAUAAGCACCGGCUAACUUCGUG